ACACAUGUUUGUGUGUUUUCGCACUUGAUACCUGCUAAUGCUUGCUUGAGCGUUAUCUAGCUUUGAACAGGGAUUACUACAGUUUGUGGGUUUCUUGCUCCAUGUGCUGUGCGCCGAGCACUUGAGUGAAACUCUUUGAGUAACAUUAUAAGGAAAACUGCUCGGAAAAUGUCGUCCAUGUCGCAAAUAUCAAUUGACAUGUAAAACAAUUGCCCUGAAAUUUCUUAGUGCUCUGUCGACUUUGGCGAUUUUGAAGACUCACGGACCCCAAAAGCUAAAUCUGCCAAGGACAAAAAUUUUGAGACCUGAAUGAGCUUGGAUAUAUGCUCAUGCUAUGGAUAUAUGUUGCCUUAAACAAAACCGCAUUUUAAUUUUGUUGCUGCCAAUCUGCGUCGAUUCUUAAAUUAACAUUUUGUAGAAUUCUGCCGAUCUUAAAGACUAAUCCUGCCAACCUUCAUGGACAAUAUAUAAUCAAGAAGUAUUUAUUUCGUUCUUGGAUCGGCGAUUAUAACACAGUGGAUUAUAAACACAGUAUUUCCCGCGCGGAAACUCAGCCAACUCUGCCACGCCCAUGGACAAGAUUUCAUCAGGAAAUGAUCGCUAUUCAUGGUAGCUAGUUGACCGAUAUAUCCUUGGUUAUUCCAUAUCAUAGAUAUAGUCCUAGCGAACCUAAAGGAUAAAGUUCUUGCAAAAUAUGUAUGCUUUUCUUUUACAGCCGCCCCCAGCAACAGUU
rnacentral:sRNA from 1 species